UACGGGGGGGGCAAGCGUUGUUCGGAAUUACUGGGCGUAAAGAGCUCGUAGGCGGCUCAGAAAGUCGGGUGUGAAACCUCCAGGCUCAACCUGGAGACGCCACCUGAUACUGCUGUGGCUAGAGUCCGGUAGGGGAGCACGGAAUUCCCGGUGUAGCGGUGAAAUGCGCAGAUAUCGGGAGGAACACCAAUGGCGAAGGCAGCUCGCUGGGACGGUACUGACGCUGAGGCGCGAAAGCGUGGGGAGCAAACAGG
rnacentral:rRNA from 1 species